UGCGGGUGACCUGGGAAACAUAGUGGCCAAUGCCGAUGGCGUGGCUGAAGUGACACUUGUAGAUAAUCAGAUACCAUUGACCGGUCCAAACUCAGUUGUUGGACGAGCACUUGUGGUUCAUGAGCUUGAGGAUGACCUCGGAAAGGGUGGCCAUGAACUCAGUCUUACCACUGGCAAUGCUGGUGGACGAUUGGCAUGCGGUGUGGUUGGUUUGACUCCAAUAUGAAGUAAAUGCAGCAGCAACAACAGCUCUUUUGUCGGAAUUAUAAUGAGUGAACGUAUUUACCCUCCUCUCCGGGUUGCCAAUAAACCUCUACAUGAAUUUGUACUGAGAAAUUCUUUGAUGAACUAAAUUUGAACUUGUAUGUACACACUUGCCAACACUUUUUUGCUUCAAAACUGUAAUUGGAGUUGGCUAUUUACCUUCCUUUGUGUUUUGGCUAUCUAAAGUUACACUCAGUUAACUAAGUGUUGUCUUGGAUUUUGAACUCCUGUCAUGUAUA
rnacentral:misc_RNA from 1 species